AUUCGGCAAAAUAAUCUUUAACUGUUUAACAAAAACAUUUCUUUAUGAUUAUAUGUAAAGUAAGGUCUGCCCACUGAAUUAUAUUUAAAGGGCUGCAGUAUAUUGACUGUGCAAAGGUAGCAUAAUAAUUAGUUUUUUAAUUGAAAACUAGAAUGAAUGAUUUAAUAAAAGAUAAGCUUUUUUUUAUUUUAUAAGUUGAAUUUUAUUUUUAGUGAAAAAUCUAAAAUUUUUUUAAAAGACGAGAAGACCCUAUAGAUUUUUAUAUUUUAUUUGAUAAAAAAUUAAAUAAAAUAUUUGAUUGGGGUGAUUAUAAAAUUGAAUUAACUUUUAUUGAUUGAUUACAUUAAUUUAUGGAUAUUAGAUUUUAAUAAUAAAUUUUUAAAAUAAGUUACCUUAGGGAUAACAGCGUAAUUUUAUAUUUAAGUUCUUAUUAGAUAUAAAGAUUGCGACCUCGAUGUUGAAUUAAGAUUAAUAUUAAAUGCAAAAGUUUAAUUGAAUAGUCUGUUCGACUAAUAAUUUCUUACAUGAUUUGAGUUCAGACCGGCGUGAGCCAGGUUGGUUUCUAUCUUUAAAUUUAAAUGUUAAUAUUAGUACGAAAGGAUUUUAUUAGGAAUUUUUUAUUUUAUUAUGAAUAUUAUUAAUAA
rnacentral:rRNA from 1 species